CAUAGGGUCUGUUGACUGUCUACAAACGUAGGUAUUUUGGCCGUUAUUUAGGGAAGAAUGUAUCACAAGUGCAUAAAUCCUAAAUUAUUGUCUGUAUAUGAAUAACCGUUUCAAAACACCAGGGCAAAAAUUGUCAUCUUAACUAAGACAAACCAUACUGAGGUUUUAUAAAGAACCAUGGGAGGACGGACCUUCACGAGCCCAGUUCUGGAAUAUCAGAAUCCUUUCAGAAAUACUGCUGGCUAAGUCAGAGGAGGUCCUGGAGUGUCACAAAACCCUGUCACCACCUCUCUGGUGCAGAACAUCGGCAGCCCAGUGAUCAGACCGCCAAGGACGCCUUUAGUCAUUAAAUGGAGUAGUUUAUACCCAUAGGGACAGAUUUCUCCUUACAGCUACGCGUGCAUAUUCCUACUAGAUUGCUAGAAUGGUUUUUGUUGUUGUUAUUUUUUGUUGUUGUUUUUUUUUUUUGUUUUUUUGUGUUUUGUUUUUUUGUCUAUUCUUUUUCAGGUAACUGAAGCCAUACUCAACUGAUUCUAAAUGCAAUUUGCAAACAAGAAUUUGCCUUCCAAGGACACUUCUGCUAUAGCAGUUUACAAGUUGCUUUUUUGCCCAGUCUUCCAUCUCAAGAUGAACAGGUCUGUCUUCUCCGGCAUAAGCUGCAGUCCACAGCCUUGAGUUGAAGCUAACUGACCAGGGUUCCCAUCGGGUAUGCAGCUGCUCUUAUAGAUCACUAGCAUUUGGAGUAUAGCCAAAUUGUUUUUUUUUUUUUUCUAAAUCAGUAAGCUUGCAACAUUUAUUUUGUUUUUGCUGCCAAAUAAUUGUGUCCACUCUUAAGCUUUCAAUCACGUUUAUACGGACGGCAUUUACAUUUCUUUCAAUUCAGUGGUUCUCAACCUUGCGUACGCUCCGACCCUUUAGUACAGUUCAUGUUGUGGUGCCCUCCAACCAUAAAAUUAUUUUUGUUGCUACUUCAUAACAACAGUUAUUUUGCUGUUAUGAAUUAUAAUGUAAAUAUUUGGGGGGGACAGAGGUUUACCAAAGGGGUUUGUAAGCUGAGAGCCAUCUUCUGGUGGUCUUAGAGAUACCAAGAUCUCAUCAGCAAAAUAAGGAAGAAAGGCUGAAGCACCAAGUGUUAGUUAUUGUUCUUCUGGACUUUCAGUCUGGAAACCCAAAGCACUGAAGGAAAGAUGGCCCUUGCAGACCAUCCCAGGUGGGGAUGAAGGGAGGCCAGGUCUUACCUACCGACCUCUCCUCAGUUAUCAGAGAUGAGUAGUAUGGACUCGUACCAGCUUUUACUUGACACAAGCUAGAAAUCGCUUGGGAAGAGGAAACCUCAGCUGAGAAAACGCCUCCACCAGAUGGGCCUGUGGGCAAGCUUGUGUGGCAUCCUCUUGAUUAGUAGUUGCUGUGGGGGAGCCCAGUUCACUAGGGAAGGUACCACUCCCGGGUCCUGGGUACUAUAGGGAAGUAAAUGAAGCCACGAGAAGAAAGCCGGCCAGCACCACUCCUCCAUGGCUUCUGCUUCGGGUUCUCCUCUGACUUCCCUCCCUUGGGGAUGGAGUUAUGUGUUUUAUCGCAGCAAUAAAAACCCCAGGACACAGCUAACUUGUUUUCUUUUGAGACAGCCUCAAUAUGAUGUCUCAGCUGAACUCAAAGCUUAGACUCCUACCGUGCCUACCCACUUAUCUUUAGCAUUUGUUAGGGAAAUAAAUAGACCACCAAGCUUUUCUAUUUUGCCCUAAGUGGCAUACCACUGUAAAUUGUAAUUUUGUACUCCAUAGGUGGGAUUUGCCAAGACUAGCACAUACCUGUAACGCCAGCACUCAGGAGGCUAAGGCACAGCUAAGUCAGUCUCAAACUCAGGGGUUAGGGAGGGGCAUGGCUUUUGUCUUGAAGUCAAAAUAAGUUGAAAACACCUUAAAAGCACAGGCCACAGGCAUCAGAGAACUCUGCAGUACCAUGGCGGAGGGAAGCCCCCCUCCUAGCUAUCUGGACUCAGUCCCCACCUCUGCCACUUACUAACCUGUGAGUCUGGGUUCCAUCCUCAGCUUCAUAAACUAAAGGCAGGACUCUAAAUCCUGUCUCCCUUAUUGUUCAUGCUGGGAGUUUUAAAGUUCUCUAACAAUUGUGAUCUACAGAAAGUUCCCACUUAUGAAGACAUUAAAAUGCACCCACAGGAACCUAGCAAGGUAACGCAUCUGGAUUUACCACAUGUGAGUGCACUGGCGGGUUUUAAACAGAGUAUGACUGAAGAGGAUAAAGGGCACAGGAAUGGAGACAGUAACAAUAGCAGCAAACUCUGAUCCUUAGGGUCGAGUUCACAGGGAAGUACAGCUCAAAUCCACUUCAACAGCCAUGGAGGAAACCGGUCACAUAUGUAGAAACUGCUGCUGGAAACACUCAGUGGUUAAGGGGACUAAGUGUGGUUCCCAGACCCAAGUCAACCAACCACCUGUAACUUUAGCUCCUGGGGGGGGGGGACCCAACUCCUCUGGCUUCCCAGGACAGCUGUACCUCAAGUACAAAUGCCCACCCCACAUUUAAAAAUAAAUC
rnacentral:lncRNA from 1 species